ACGCAACGCGAAGAACUACCAGGCCUUGACAUACUCGGCAAAGCUCUAGAGAUAGAGUGGAGGUUAUCCGGGAUACAGGUGGUGCAUGGUUGUCGUCAGCUCGUGUCGUGAGAUGUUGGUUAAGUCCGCAACGAGCGCAACCCUUGUCUUUAGUUACCAUCAUUCAGUUGGGGACUCUAGAGAGACUGCCGGUGAUAAACCGGAGGAAGUGGGGAUGACGUCAAAUCAUCAUGCCCCUUAUGGCCUGGGCUACAAACGUAAUACAAUGGCGUAUACAAAGGGAUGCGAAAGGGCGACCUGGAGCAAAACUCACAAAGUACGUCUCAGUUCAGAUUGGAGUCUGCAACUCGACUCCAUGAAGGCGGAAUCGCUAGUAAUCGCGGAUCAGCAUGCCGCGGUGAAUACGUUCUCGGGGUUU
rnacentral:rRNA from 1 species